UAGGGAAUCUUCGGCAAUGGGGGCAACCCUGACCGAGCAACGCCGCGUGAGUGAAGAAGGUUUUCGGAUCGUAAAGCUCUGUUGUAAGUCAAGAACGGGUGUGAGAGUGGAAAGUUCACACUGUGACGGUAGCUUACCAGAAAGGGACGGCUAACUACGUGCCAGCAGCCGCGGUAAUACGUAGGUCCCGAGCGUUGUCCGGAUUUAUUGGGGCGUAAAGCGAGCGCAGGCGGUUUGAUA
rnacentral:rRNA from 1 species